rnacentral:rRNA from 1 species
ACGCUUGAAGUCAGUCGCGUCUUCCGGGGCUCAGCCUGGCUUAUGCCUGGUGUAUUUCCUGGUUGACGGGCCAGCGUCCGUUUCGUCCGCCGGAAAAGAACGGUUUGAAUGUGGCUCGGUUUCGGCCGAGUGUUAUAGCUUUCCGUUGCAUACGGCGUUCGGGACGGAGCAUACAGCGCGCUUUCAGCGGCGCUUGUGUUGGCGUAAUGGCUUUAAACGACCCGUCUUGA